rnacentral:rRNA from 1 species
GUGACUGCGUACCUUUUGUAUAAUGGGUCAGCGACUUACUUCUCAGUAGCAAGGUUAACCAUUAGGGGAGCCGUAGGGAAACCGAGUCUUAAAUGGGCGUUUAGUUGCUGGGAGUAGACCCGAAACCGGGUGAUCUAUCCAUGGCCAGGGUGAAGGUUAGGUAACACUGACUGGAGGCCCGAACCCACUUAUGUUGAAAAAUGAGGGGAUGAGCUGUGGAUAGGGGUGAAAGGCCAAACAAACCCGGAGAUAGCUGGUUCUCUCCGAAAUCUAUUUAGGUAGAGCGUCAUGUAUUACUUCUGGGGGUAGAGCACUGUUAUGGCUAGCGGGUCGUCAAGACUUAGUAAACCAUUGCAAACUCCGAAUACCAGAAAGUAUGAGCAUGGCAGACACACUGCGGGUGCUAACGUCCGUAGUGGAAAGGGAAACAACCCAGACCGUCAGCUAAGGUCCCAAAAUUAUAGUUAAGUGGGAAACGAUGUGAAAAGGCAUAGACAGCCAGGAGGUUGGCUUAGAAGCAGCCAUUCCUUUAAAGAGUGCGUAAUAGCUCACUGGUCGAGUCGGUUUGCGCGGAAGAUUUAACGGGGCUAAACUAUAUACCGAAGCUGCGGAUCGCAAUUUAUUGCGAUGGUAGGAGAGCGUUCUGUAAGCCGUUGAAGGUGAACUGUGAGGUUUGCUGGAGGUAUCAGAAGUGCGAAUGCUGACAUGAGUAACGAUAAAGGGGGUGAAAAACCCCCUCGCCAGAAGUCCAAGGUUUCCUACGCAACGUUAAUCGGCGUAGGGUUAGUCGGCCCCUAAGGCGAGGCAGAAAUGCGUAGUCGAUGGGAAACGGGUUAAUAUUCCCGUACUUCAUAUAACUGCGAUGGGAAGACGGAGAAGGUUAGCUCAGCAAGGCGAUGGUUGUCCUUGUUCAAGCGUGUAGAAAUGGUUCUUAGGAAAAUCCGGGAACCUCUAUUUCAAGGCGUGAUAACGAUCCCUCUUUUGGGAGAAGUGAGUGAUACCAUGCUUCCAGGAAAAUCCUCUAAGCUUCAGGUUAUAUGAAACCGUACCCCAAACCGACACAGGUGGACGAGAUGAGAAUUCUAAGGCGCUUGAGAGAACUCGGGUGAAGGAACUAGGCAAAAUGACACCGUAACUUCGGGAGAAGGUGUACUCUUGUUAUGUGAAAUCACUCGCUGAUAGAGCAGAAAAGAGUUGAAAAUACUAGGUGGCUGCGACUGUUUAUUAAAAACACAGCACUCUGCAAACACGUAAGUGGACGUAUAGGGUGUGACUCCUGCCCGGUGCUUGAAGGUUAAUUGAUGAGGUUAGCGCUUGCGCGAAGCUUUUGAUCGAAGCCCAAGUAAACGGCGGCCGUAACUAUAACGGUCCUAAGGUAGCGAAAUUCCUUGUCGGGUAAGUUCCGACCUGCACGAAUGGAGUAACGACGGCCACACUGUCUCCACCCGAGACUCAGUGAAAUUGAAAUUGCUGUUAAGAUGCAGUAUACCCGCGGCCAGACGGAAAGACCCCGUGCACCUUUACUACAGCUUUGCAUUGAACUCUGAUCCUACUUGUGUAGGAUAGGUGGGAGGCUUUGAAGCUUUAACGCUAGUUAGAGUGGAGCCACCCUUGAAAUACCACCCUGGUAUGGUUGGGGUUCUAACCUAGGUCCGUAAUCCGGAUCGGGAACAAUGCAUGGUGGGUAGUUUGACUGGGGCGGUCUCCUCCCAAAGAGUAACGGAGGAGCGCAAAGGUAUCCUCAGCACGGUCGGACAUCGUGCAAUGAGCGCAAAGGUAAAAGGAUGCUUGACUGCGAGACUGACACGUCGAGCAGGUAGGAAACUAGGUCUUAGUGAUCCGGUGGUUCUGAGUGGAAGGACCAUCGCUCAACGGAUAA